rnacentral:rRNA from 1 species
CCUACGGGAGGCAGCAGUGGGGAAUUUUGCGCAAUGGGGGAAACCCUGACGCAGCAACGCCGCGUGAGUGAUGAAGGCCUUCGGGUCGUAAGGCUCUUUUAGUGGGGAAGAAUCCCACCCGGGUUAAUACCUCGGGUGUCUGACGGUACCCACAGAAAAAGUUCCGGCUAACUACGUGCCAGCAGCCGCGGUAAUACGUAGGGAGCAAGCGUUGUUCGGAAUUAUUGGGCGUAAAGAGCGCGUAGGCGGUUCGGUAAGUCUGACGUGAAAUCCCGGAGCUCAACUCCGGAACUGCGUUGGAUACUGCCGAGCUUGAGUGUGGGAGAGGAGAGUGGAAUUCCCAGUGUAGAGGUGAAAUUCGUAGAUAUUGGGAGGAACACCCGUGGCGAAGGCGGCUCUCUGGACCACAACUGACGCUGAGGCGCGAAAGCUAGGGUAGCAAACGGGAUUAGAUACCCCGGUAGUCCUAGCCGUAAACGAUGGGCACUAGGUGUUGGAGGUAUCGACCCCUCCAGUGCCGCAGCUAACGCAUUAAGUGCCCCGCCUGGGGAGUACGGUCGCAAGACUAAAACUAAAGGAAUUGACGG